ensembl:lncRNA
AUGGACCUAACAUUCCAGGUUCCUAUGCAAUAUUGCUCUUUACAGCAUCAGACCUUGCUUCCAUCAACAGUCACAUCCACAACUGGGUGUUGUUUUUGCAACACCCUAAAUCAAAUCCCUAACGAUUAUACAAUGGAAGUGGGAAAUAGAUUUAAGGGACUAGAUCUGAUAGACAGAGUGCCUGAUGAACUAUGGACAGAGGUUCGUGACACUGUACAGGAGACAGGGAGCAAGACCAUCCCCAAGAAAAAGAAAUGCAAAAAAGCAAAAUGGCUGUCUGAGGAGGACUUACAAAUAGCUGUGAAAAGAAGAGAAGCAAAAAGCAAAGGAGAAAAGGAAAGAUAUACCCAUUUGAAUGCAGAGUUCCAAAGAAUAGCAAGGAGAGAUAAGAAAGCCUUCCUCAGUGAUCACUGCAAAGAAAUAGAUGAAAAGAAUAGAAUGGGAAAGACUAGACAUCUCUUCAAGAAAAUUAAAGAUACUAAGGGAACAGUUCAUGCAAAGAUGGGCUCAAUAAAGGACAGAAAUGGUAGGGACCUAACAGAAGCAGAAGAUAUUAAGAAGAGAUGGCAAAAAUACACAGAAGAAUUGUACAAAAAAGAUCUUCAUGACCCAGAUAAUCAUGAUGGUGUGAUUACUCACCUAGAUCCAGACAUCCUGGAAUGUGAAGUCAAGAGGGCCCUAGGAAGCAUCACUACAAACAAAGCUAGUGGAGGUGAUGGAAUUCCAGUUGAGCCAAUUCAAAUCCUGAAAGAUGAUGCUGUGAAAGUGCUGCACUCAACAUGCCAGCAAAUUUGGAAAACUCAGCAGUGGCCACAGGACUGGAAAAGGUCAGUUUUCAUUCCAAUCCCAAAGAAAGCCAAUGCUAAAGAAUGCUCAGACUACCACACAAUAGCACUCAUCUCACAUGCUAGUAAAGUAGUGCUCAAAAUUCUCCAAGCCAGGCUUCAGCAAUACAUGAAUCAUGAACUUCCAGAUGUUCAAGCUGGUUUUAGAAAAGGCAGAGGAACCAGAGAUCAAAUUGCCAACAUCUGCUGGAUCAUUGAAAAAGCAAGAGAAUUCCAGAAAAACAUCUAUUUCUGCUUUAUUGACUAUGCCAAAACCUUUGACUGUGUGGAUCACAAUAAACUGUAG